UUUUAAUAGUGAAUUGGGGUCUCCUUUAUUGAAAUAAAUAGGCAUUAUUUUCUUAAAUUACUUCUUAAUCUAUUUAAUUAUGCAUUUUACAUCCCUGUUUCAGAGAGAGCUCAUGCUAUGACUAUAUUAUUAGUGGCUUCUUAUCUUCAGCAUUUAGGAGGUAGGACAGGGAACGUGUUUGAUGAACAAAUUAUUAUCAUCACAGGUUCCCCCUCAAGAAAGGAAAUAAUCUACUAACACAACAACUUCCUUAUCGUAUGAAUUUGCUGUUCAGUAAAAAGUCAUGCAAAUGCAUUGAAGAUAAGCAUCAAAUACUAGGAAACCAUCUAGCUUGAUUUAGUCCGGUAGUUAGGGCGUGACACUGAAUCCAUCUGGCAGAGCCACUUGAGCGUAGGGUGGGUCUGGCAGCUUAUAUAAGAUGGUCAGAUGCUCAUAAUUUCCGGUAGUCCAUAUGUACGGACAGGACAAAAUCCCCAAGCAAAAUCCACCACAAAGUGACACAUCCAUUGCCUUGAUCAUUACAAACCCAAAAAUGAUAAUUAAAAAAAAAAUCAACACCAAAUCUUCACCGGAAAUAUAUGUAGCUCGCUUCCAAAACUCGCCGGGCUAAAAAUUCGGCUUGAUAUUUAUAUGGAAACAAAAAGGUUACACUGCUACUACUGUGAUCAUUCACAGUACAUAACCCUUUCUUUCUCUCUUUCCCAUUUUUUUUUCUACUCAAACGAACAGAUUCAAAAGUUUCUUCCUAUCGCCACCACUGCUCUUAAAGGUCGUCGUCUCUGAUGAUUCUUUGGUGUAAAACGACACCGCAUCUCUGCCUUUCUUCUCUCUCCCAGCUCUACCUGAUGCCAAAAGCUUUGGCGGGAGAGAGAGAUUGAAAACGGACGCUUGAUUCUCCCUCGCCAUAUUAGUGUAAGGCUUUGAUUGUUUCCACGUGUUUCGUAACUCGCAUGCCUCCGCAGAGAAACUGACAGAAGACGACUCAUCGUAAUUUGGCGCCAAGACUCCGGAGUGAAUUCCCGGUAUCGGCCGCAGAAUUCCACCGGAGAGAACCGUCUCCACCGCCGCCUGGCACACGUGCCAGUUCCCGCUCCACAACAGUCCCACCGCUCCGUUUACUGGAUUCACGGUUCGCCCGCACGCCUCAAACAACAAGGAUUGAAACAAAGCUACAAGCAAAAGAAACCAGAGAAACAAGCAAAAUAUUCCAUCAACAUCUAACAGGUGUCAAUGUCAAUAUAGAGUUUUGUACACGUGUACAAUUACCUGGCCGUUGGGAUUCCGGCACGGCGGAGAUGAGGGACAUGAGAUCGCUGCGGCCGAAGAAUUUAGCGAGAAAUAAGGUGGCGUUGCCUUGUGCUUCGGGGGGACUGAUCCAGUGAAGGCACGACCUCAGUAUACAAGUCUCGCCGCAACCCUUUCGCAGAACUCGGCAUCCGUUGCAGCUCAUCUCCACCGUUGAUCACGGAUUGGCCUCCAAGGAAAAGGUCAAAAAAAUUCAAUAGAUUUUGAUAUAUGAUCGUUAAAUAGGGGCGGAGAUUUCUUGAGAGUUAAGCAAGUGAAGCGAGUGAAAGAAAG
rnacentral:misc_RNA from 1 species